UUGGCCCUGAAUCAAGACUAGCAGGUUUCUGAAGCUGUUGGUUUCAAGCAAGAGCCUAGAGUAUCUUUCUAUAGUCUGUUGGUCAUUUCAGAACCUUAGAAAUGUGAUGAUCAAUUCAUUAGAAACAACACCC
ensembl:snoRNA small nucleolar RNA SNORA2/SNORA34 family